rnacentral:rRNA from 1 species
UAACGCGUGGGUAACCUGCCUCAUACAGGGGGAUAACAGUUAGAAAUGACUGCUAAAACCGCAUAAGCGCACAUUGUCGAGUGACAGAGUGUGAAAAACUCCGGUGGUAUGAGAUGGACCCGCGUCUGAUUAGCUAGUUGGUGAGGUAACGGCCCACCAAGGCGACGAUCAGUAGCCGGCCUGAGAGGGCGACCGGCCACAUUGGGACUGAGACACGGCCCAAACUCCUACGGGAGGCAGCAGUGGGGAAUAUUGCACAAUGGGGGAAACCCUGAUGCAGCGACGCCGCGUGAGUGAAGAAGUAUUUCGGUAUGUAAAGCUCUAUCAGCAGGGAAGAAGAAAGACGGUACCUGACUAAGAAGCCCCGGCUAACUACGUGCCAGCAGCCGCGGUAAUACGUAGGGGGCAAGCGUUAUCCGGAUUUACUGGGUGUAAAGGGAGCGUAGACGGCUGUGCAAGUCUGAAGUGAAAGCCCAGGGCUCAACCCUGGGACUGCUUUGGAAACUGUGGAGCUAGAGUGCUGGAGAGGUAAGUGGAAUUCCUAGUGUAGCGGUGAAAUGCGUAGAUAUUAGGAGGAACACCAGUGGCGAAGGCGGCUUACUGGACAGUAACUGACGUUGAGGCUCGAAAGCGUGGGGAGCAAACAGGAUUAGAUACCCUGGUAGUCCACGCGGUAAACGAUGAAUACUAGGUGU